rnacentral:rRNA from 1 species
GACGAACGCUGACGGUGUGCUUUAGACAUGCAAGUCGAACGAGAAAGCCCUUCGGGUGAGUACAGUGGCGAACGGGUGAGUAACACGUGGGCAAUCUGCCCUUCGCAGGGGGAGUAACCGGGGAAACCCCGGCCUAAUAGCCCGUACGCUCAGAGGUUCGCAUGGACCUCUGAGGAAAGGUAGCUUCGGCUAUCCGGCGAAGGAUGAGCCCGCGGUGCAUUAGCUAGUUGGUGGGGUAACGGCCCACCAAGGCGACGAUGCAUAGCUGGUCUGAGAGGAUGAUCAGCCACACUGGGACUGNGACACGGCCCAGACUCCUACGGGAGGCAGCAGUCGGGAAUCUUGCGCAAUGGGCGAAAG